AUUGAACGCUGGCGGCAUGCCUUACACAUGCAAGUCGAACGGCAGCACGGGUGCUUGCACCUGGUGGCGAGUGGCGAACGGGUGAGUAAUACAUCGGAACAUGUCCUGUAGUGGGGGAUAGCCCGGCGAAAGCCGGAUUAAUACCGCAUACGAUCCACGGAUGAAAGCGGGGGACCUUCGGGCCUCGCGCUAUAGGGUUGGCCGAUGGCUGAUUAGCUAGUUGGUGGGGUAAAGGCCUACCAAGGCGACGAUCAGUAGCUGGUCUGAGAGGACGACCAGCCACACUGGGACUGAGACACGGCCCAGACUCCUACGGGAGGCAGCAGUGGGGAAUUUUGGACAAUGGGCGAAAGCCUGAUCCAGCAAUGCCGCGUGUGUGAAGAAGGCCUUCGGGUUGUAAAGCACUUUUGUCCGGAAAGAAAUCCUUGGCUCUAAUACAGUCGGGGGAUGAUGGUACCGGAAGAAUAAGCACCGGCUAACUACGUG
rnacentral:rRNA from 1 species